GUGCUAGAAAAUAGUCUCUCGUAAACCAGACCAGCUUCAAGAAAAAGUUAGGAAUCGGAGGAAUCGUGAAGGAAAUAGCUCCAAGUUUAAAAGAUACAGCUUGGAUCAGUGUUUUCAUGAGAUCCCCUUCAACUAAGUGAUGCCCUAGUUUCACUGUUGCCAUUGCUUAGCUGUAUUCUCUAUGGAUCUAAGAGUCAUGGGAAAGAAAGUGAUAUUUAGCUCUAUCUUAAAGACUCAUUUGGCACAGCUCCAGCUCUCAACUCCAACUUAUCUGGAGCUAGAGUUAUGUCAAACGGUACAUAUUCUAAUUUCUUUGGAACGAAGUUGAC
rnacentral:lncRNA from 1 species